AUUGAACGCUGGCGGCAUGCUUUACACAUGCAAGUCGAACGGCAGCGCGGGCUUCGGCCUGGCGGCGAGUGGCGAACGGGUGAGUAAUGCAUCGGAACGUGCCCAGUAGUGGGGGAUAGCCCGGCGAAAGCCGGAUUAAUACCGCAUACGACCUGAGGGUGAAAGCGGGGGACCGAAAGGCCUCGCGCUAUUGGAUCGGCCGAUGUCGGAUUAGCUAGUUGGUGGGGUAAAGGCUUACCAAGGCGACGAUCCGUAGCUGGUCUGAGAGGACGACCAGCCACACUGGGACUGAGACACGGCCCAGAGUCCUACGGGAGGCAGCAGUGGGGAAUUUUGGACAAUGGGGGCAACCAUGAUCCAGCCAUGCCGCGUGCGGGAAGAAGGCCUUCGGGUUGUAAACCGCUUUUGUUCGGGAAGAAAUCCUCUGGGCUAAUACCCCGGGGGGAUGACGGUACCGGAAGAAUAAGCACCGGCUAACUACGUG
rnacentral:rRNA from 1 species